rnacentral:rRNA from 1 species
CCCUAUUAGCAUUAUCUAAAUUUUAGUAGUAAGUGAACUUCAUGAAACUAAAAUUAAUUGGCGGCUUUCUAAAAUAAUUAGAGGAAUUUAUUCUUUAAAGGAUACAACCCCAACAUCUUACUUUUGAUUGUAAUUUACUCAGUCUAUCUACCGCUAUCUUAAAAUUAAUAAAAAAAAUUUUUUGUACUUUCAAUAAAAGUACUUUUUUAGGUUAAGGUGUAGCUAAUUCAAAAGAAUGAAAUAAAUUAUAUAAAUUUAUAUUAAACAAACUUAUUAAGAUACCCUUAAUAAAUUAGAAAAAUUUAAAAGUAAAAUUAGCAUAAUAAACUAACUUGAAUACAGAAAUUGAAAGUGUACAUAUCGCCCGUCACUCUCUUCUAGAGAUAAGUC